rnacentral:rRNA from 1 species
AUGCAUCGGGGCUCCAUCGAAAUGUCAGGCGACUCAUACAAGGGAUUAGGGAGGCAAAAUAUUACGCAACUUGGGAAGGGGAUUCGUGAGGGAAUCACUGAUUUGGAUUUUCGGGAGGCAAAACAAGCAGCCUCGAGCAUAUUCCCCAAGGAUUUGGCAGAGGAGGGGAAGCUCGGGCGAGGGGGCUUCGGCAACGUCUACUGGGGCGGCAGCCUCAGUGAUCAAGACAGCCCGGUGGCCAUCAAGAUGUUGUCUGCGGAAUCGUCUGCGCAGGGGAGGAAAGAGUUCGAGGCGGAGGUGAAGAUCAUAAGCCGGCUGAGGCAUCGGAACCUUGUGCACUUGCUAGGAUGGUCCGACAGCCGCAAAGGGCUCAUGCUCGUCUAUGAGCUUGUGCCGGAAGGCAGCCUCGACCAACACAUUUACAGCACUAGUCGUCUGCUCACUUGGUCAGAGAGGACAUGGCACCAAGCUGGUAGACUCGGGCUGGCCAGGCUCGUGGAGCAUGGAGCUGAGGCACGGACGACACGGGUCGUCAUGGGCAUCGUGGGGUACAUAGACCCGGAGUUCAUCCGCACGUGCUGGUCGAGCACCGAAGCAGAUGUCUAUAGCUUUGGAGUCGUCCUGCUGGAGGUCGUGUCCGGCCAGCGGCCAAACUUGGGGAUGGAAGAGACGGCCGACAAAGCCAUCCCGCUGCUCAGGUGGAUUUGGGACCUGUACGAGAAGGGUGCCAUCAUUGAAGCGGUUGAUGAGAGGUUAAAGCGGGGAGAUACACAGCAGCUCGACAGCGACGGUGGCUGUAAGUGGCAGAUGCACCGCGCACUGGUCGUGCGGCUCUGGUGCACGCGUACUCACCCGGGCGAACGACUGUCUGAAGGACGUCAUGCUGCUGGCCCUGUCACUGCCGGCCUAGCUGACGUUACCCCUGGAUCACAUGGUUACAACAAUGUGUCUACAUCGUCGGCCAAUGCUUGCAGCGAGGUGUCUUGGGCCAGCAGCGGCAGAUGA